rnacentral:lncRNA from 1 species
GGGUCAGGACAGACAUUUGCGGAUCAGGGGUCGGACAAACCACAACAAUUAAGCCGCUUGAGAGAUGCUAAUAUGGACCUGAUGGGUCAUAAUGGGCUUGAAUCUGAAGGAGAGGAUAACUGUCUUUGAGGCAGACUUUAUUUAGGUCAGUGAAGUCAAUGAACAUGCAUCAUUUUUUAUUCGCUUUCUUGACUAGCACCACGUUGACGAGCCAAUCAUAGUACAUUGCUUCUUG